AGCAAUUUGUAGCGCUUGGGACGAACAAAUUUCGGCAGGCGAGGGCCUUCUCAAGUCUAUUUCCUUAACGGUUCGAAAUUUAUUACCGCUCAUUCCUCUUACUCCUCCCUUCGGCCCCUUUUUUCCUUUAUUUAUAUAUUUUUGCGCUAGUGGGGCAGCCUACUGGAAACGCGCGGUACUAUGGAGACGGUUGGGUCAAAUUAAUUUGACAUUCUUCCCCCAGCGCAAGAGCACAUUGUAUGAAUGUGGCUUUGUUUACAUGCGGCUGUUUUCGCGUGUUUUCAUCGUGAUUGCCCGGUUCUGCUAUCUUAGUGCUUUGGUUGGUUUUCCCUAUGAACAUUUUCCUCCUCAACCAAUGGUUCUGCUGCACUUGUCUCAUCGCGUUAAGGAUCACGUCUCUGCCGUCGAACGCUUCCAUCGGAUGAUCUUCGUUCGGAAUUCCAUAGAAAUGGUUCGGCGUAAGGGCAGGUUUUGAUGGGUGCCUUCGUCAGUGGCUGGGAGUUGACGACAUCUGUCGCGCCGAUGAAGUUUGCACCGCGAUCACUAACGCGCCACGACAUUCCUAGAAUCUUCCCAGUCAAGGCGCCCGUGCACAAAAUCGCACGCUUGUCCGUUCGAGCCCCGCGUAGCAACGUAUCCAUCCGAUUACGGAUUUCGAAGCCACCUUCCGCUUCGAUGAUUCGAAUCUCUUCCGAUUGUCUGGUUCAUGUGAGAAUAUGAGGGAAUUGCCGUAAGCGUUUGCGUCUUGUCGCAAGGAUCCACGGGGUUUCGGUCCGAAGGCGAUCCAACCUAAGCGGGUUUUGAUGGCGGCUGGCUCCUGUUUCCUUCCCUCGACGUAUGCAAAUGGACGCAUUAGCUGACAAUUAUCGAUGCCGAUGAGAAUUCGCGGUGUCACGUCGCAACUUUAAGAUCGCAACUUUAGACCUUCCAGAUGCUUAUACUUUCUAGACGUAGCAUCUACUGAGAACGAUUGUGAAGGUAACGAGAGGUGUUGCAGAGUGUGUACCUUUUCUCACCGGUCCCUCUGAUGCACAACGGAUGCGGUGUCGCUUUAAGAUCCAGUUCCCCAAUCAAACUCUCUUCAAUAGACGUUCCCGUUGAACCACUAUAAAAAACGCGCACGUCUUCACGGCCUUAUUGUCGCCAAAUACAACCACAGUACAGCAAGGAUACUCCUGUUGGAGCAUGACCCCCAGAUGUGUGAUCCAUAUAGAAUUGCAGGUAGUAUAACUUGUAUGUACAGUAUAAGUUUGCUUUCUAUUGUAAGAGUGUACCGUCUUUUGAUAAGAUAAAUCCUCUGACUGAGUAGAAGACCGCAUGUUUUAGAUUAAAGCUUUUCAAUAUGAGCUUUGAAUGUAAGGUGGCUCUCUAGUGUGUUGCCGAGAUAUCGCAUGGUAGGGGUCCAGGGGAGUGGAUUGUCGUGGAUUGCUAUUUGAAUCACUUUCCGUUGGAUUGUCGCCAUAGUACGCUUUCGGUAAGGUAGAACAAUGGCCUGCAUUUUACUGCUGUUCACCAGUAACUUCCAGUCGUUUAAAUGUUUUAAAUAUUUAUCAACGCUUUUUUGCAGUCCAGAAUGGAGCUUUGCAUAGACCGGAGAGCUAUGCAUUAUUGCAGUAUCGUUUGCGUAAAGAGAAAGUUGCGCACGUUGAUUUAGGGAUGGAACAUCAGUAGUGUAGCAAUUGUGUAGAAGAGGUCCUAAGACGCUCCCCUGAGGAACACCUGCACUGUUACUGUAGGGCUUUGAUCGGAGUGAGCCCAAAUGAACUGUUGAUGUACGGUCACAAAGGUAGCUUUGAAUGAUUUUUAAAAUGUACUUUGGAAAAUCUUGUACUUUCAAUUUGUGCAGAAGCCCAUGGUGCCAUACGUUAUCAAAGGCUUUUGUAAUGUCUAAAAGUGUUAAGGCAGUGGACCAGCCACGGAUUUUACCCUGGUUUAUGCUGUUAAUCAUACGUUGCAGUUGAUGAGACGUAGAGUGAGCUUUCCUGAAACCAAACUGAACUUCAGUCAGGGUGUUAUUCUCAGAGCAAUGGUUUUCCAUUCUUGCAUGAAUAAUGCGCUCCAGGAUUUUGGUGUGAACGCACAGUAAGGAGAUAGGCCUAUAACUGGAAGCCAUGCAGGGAUCUUUCCCAGGUUUCCUGAUAGGAAUAACCUUUGCAUGUUUCCAGCGAGCUGGUAAAUAUCCUAACUCAAGGCACCUAUUGAAGAUGUUGGUCAGUAGGGUCAAAGAAUUGACCAAGAUGUUUUAGGCAGAUGUUGAAAAAGCCAUCCGGCCCGGUGCCUUGAAGGAAACGCUGUAUUUGAUUAUGAAUUUCACUUCGUGAGGUCCUGUUUAUGACUAAAGCAGGGUCAGAGUGGGAAUUGAUUUCACCAAUACUACUUUGCACAAUGUUUUCAUGCGGACUGGUCAUUGUGUCGCUGAUGUUAUGCGAGCUAGCAAAAACGUUGGCUAAUAAGGAUACUUUUUCUUGUGGUGUAAAGCAAAUAACAAAUGGGGUUACCUUUCAGAGGAGGAAUGGGUUUGGGCUUAGUGCGCGAGAAGGGUUGGGAAUUUUUGGGAAGAUUCUUUACCAUCUUGGAGAAUCGUUGAUUUUUAUGUAACCUAAGCCUAUAUUCGAAAAGUUUAGCCGCUUGACGGAAAGCGGAGGCCCUAUCCCUGUCCUUUGGUAAUGUUCUUUUGGUCGAUUAGACCUUUUGUUUCACGGUCAAGCUGGAUGAGUUUUGUACUUAUUUCAACGCGAGGAACGCACGAACUUACCGCGUUGUUUAUACAGGCUUCGAGCAUGGUGAUGGCUGCGUCAAUGUCGUUGAUUGUGUUAAGCGGAAUUUCGGCGUUGAUAGUAGCUUCCGUGAUGCGUUGAAAUCUCGUCCAAUCCGCUGCACGAUAGUUUAGGCGUUCCUUCCUGGGCUCGGUCCCCGAACCAUCGAUUUUCAUCAAUACAGGCAGGUGAUCUGAAGAAAGUGCUGUGAUCGCUGUGGGUUCAUUUACCACCAUGUUGGUCAGGAACAAAUCAAGGGUAGAGAAACUUCCAUUUUUGUAGUAUGUCGGCUGCGGUGGGAAUUCUACUGUGUAAAAUCCUGUCUGAAGGUCAUCACACAAAAUUGUUCCGUUUCCGUUGGCGAUAGUAUUGCUCCAUUGGCGGUGUCUGGCGUUCAAAUCACCGGCGAUGAUGUAUUGAUGUGUAAUUCGUGUAAGCUUUUGUAGAUCAUUUUUCAGGAUCUGAAUUGAACCGUCGCUUCCCCUAGCUUGCUUCGCACAAUAGGCUAAAUAGAAGCGGAGCGUUCCUUGUGUAGUGAAGAUUCCUAUUCAAGCAGACUCAACCAGUUUUGUCUCUGGGAGAGGAAGUACACGGAAUUUAAGAGACCGAUGCACUGCUAUCGCUACACCGCCUCCUAGGCUCUGCCAAUCUACACGUACAACAGCAUGCUCCGGAAGAUAGAAUGAUUGUGUUGGUUUUAAGUGCGUUUCCGUUAAGGCAAGCAAUGACAUAUCCUCGUUUACGACGAAAUCAAUAAGUUCCAACCGUUUGUGGGCGAUGGAACGGCAUUCCACCUACAAUCAUUUUAGGGCCCCAGAGAUGAAAUCGACCAUCGUUCUGAAAAUCUGGUCUUUGGAGCAGUGUUUUACUACACGUUUGUAUUUCAGCCAGAGCUGAACCACCAUUUUAAACAGCUCUUUCUCAUCAUCCUCAGCUUCUGCACUGAGGUCGGCACGCAGUUUGUUGAGCUUGUCUUGGACAGGUUGUCGAUAAGGUUUUGGCUUUUGUGGUACACUGCCAUGGGUUACAGUAUCGGUCAACUGUUUUGGGAUGCCUACGAUGGUGUCGGGACGUAGAUCGUGAUUUAGUGUGUGUUACCGAUGGUGCUGUUUGUUGUUCAUUUAGCUGCGGCUGUGCUGGGAGUGGUAGCUGUUGCUUGUGCUCCGACUGUUGUUUGGGAUUUUGCAGUUGCAAGUAUUGUUGCUGGUGACUUUGCUGCUGCUGUAGCGCAACGAUGCUGCAUGCAACUGUGUUGGCAUGGAAUUUGAUAUUGUUGUUGUUAUAGUUGAGCGCUGGUUUUUCUGCAUCCAAUGUAGUGAGAUUGAGCUUGUAGUGGAGCUGGAAGAAAUCGCUCUUUAGUUGUAUGCGUUUUUGAGUUAUUCUUUUUCUUCAAGUAAGCGAUCCGUGUUGGGCAGUUCGGAUUGCGGGGGCCAUGGUUGCCAGAGCAGUUUGCACACACGCGUUGAUCUUUGAGUUCAGCUGUGUAUUGCGUUGUGCGAUGACUUCCACCGCAUUUAGCACAACUAGAGAGCAUUGCGCAGUUGUUCGAGCCAUGCCCGAAUGAUGAACAGUGUUGGCACUGUUGGACUUCGUCUCGUCUUGGCGAAUAGCGCUCCCACCUGACACUGGUGUAGUUGAGGUACUUGAUAGACUGAACCUCGUCAAGGGUCGUGAUUCCUGUUUUGAAGGAAACCACGAAUAGUUUGGAUGGUGCCUUUAAAGCAACGCCAGCAUGUAGCUCACGCACUUGCAAGGGCCGAAAACCGCAUUCCUUCAACAUGUUUUCAACGCGCAACUCAUUGCCGAAGCGCAGGCCCUUAAGAAUAACCCGAAAAGGUUUAUCCCCCGGGAAGUCGUGGGUAAAAAACUCACGGUUGAAGCUGGCUAAUAAAAAUUUAGCAGCUUCGUGAUCUUUCCACGUUUUGCAGAAUAUUCUGCAGCAACUAUCUGCAGAGAAACUAAACGAUGCGUCCAGUUCACCUCGUUGAGUAGCAGCACAGAGAGAGCUGUAUUGCUCUUCGUUUAGGUUACGCACUGUUACCGGUGGGAUUUUUUCAUUGCGAGAGAAAGUGCUCUCCGGAGUAAUGAGAUCACCGUCUGUUGCGUCCAGCAACAAGCGCUCCUCACUUAGUACGCGUUUCGGACUUUCGACAGUUUUUAACAACUUCGAAUGCGUUGAAAUUUUAGUACGACUUUAUUCGAAAGUUUAAAAUCAGCUGCGUUCAUCCGCUGCGUGUUGAAAGAGAGCUCAUCUCGGCGCGCGCCGAGUUUUUAUUCGUUUUCCAGCCUCCGGUCAAUCACCCUUCACCGCUGCUGGUGAGAGUUCAUGUUUUAGGAUUCUCCUGAGCGAAUUCGCUUCGUUUCGCCCGUGUUAUGUCCGCAGCUUAAAGAUUAUCCGCUCCGCUCCGCUGUCAAAACGACGUGGACCGUUGCGUACGCGACACUGACCCCCGGUGUUUGCCUCGUUAAACACAUUGUUUUGGUCUCACGUCGAUGUGUGCUAUCUUCACUGCCGGGCGUUCCAGGACUUUUCCGUUGCUAAGUUGCACCUGAACGCGUCGCACCGCACCGUCUUGCGAUUGCACGGCUUGGAUGAUCCGUCCUCUCGGCCAGCAGCCUCUGGGUAGCGCCUCAUCCACUAUCAGCACUAGGUCGCCCUCCUGUAGCGGACGCUGAUGUUGAAACCACUUGCUGCGUCUGGUGAGUGUUGGUAAGUAGGAAGAAACCCAUUUACGCCAAAAUUGGUCCGCGUAUAGUUGGGAUGUUUUCCAACUAUUCCGUAGUGCUGCCGAGGAGUCAAGGAAUGGUGAAAGAGGUUUUACGCCUGAGGAAGAGCCCAAUAAUAAGUGGUUUGGUGUUAGUGGUGCGUCGUCGUCGCUGUCAACCGGUACGUGUGUUAGUGGACGCGCGUUGAUUAUGUGUUCCACCUCGAUCAACCAGUUCAUCAAUACGGCGUCUGUGGGUGUCUUCGUAAACUGCAUGCCGGAUAAUGUUCGCUUCACGGAUUGUACCAAUCGUUCCCAAGCGCCUCCAAAAUGCGGCGCGCCAGUUCUCGAUCGGCUCCGACGAAGUUCGUUCCUCUGUCGGAUAGAAAUUCAAUAGGGGUGCCCCGACGAGCUAUGAAGUUACGGAUGGCCAUGAUGCAGGAGCUUGUUGUCAUACUGUGGGCGAUUUCGAUGUGCACCGCUCGUACUGUAAGGCAUGUAAAGAGCACGCCCCAACGCUUCUCCUGCCUACGCCCGAUGGCAACCAUGUACGGUCCGAAGUAAUCUAUCCCAGUAUAUGUAAACGGCCUCUCGUAUGGCGAUACACGAGCUUCUGGAAGUCCACUCAUCAUAGGAGGUUUCGGUGCGGCUUUGCGGAUCCUGCAUACCAUACAGUUUUUUCGCACUCGAUGACAGGCACUCCGCAGCGCUGGAACAUCGAAUCUUUGCCGUACCUCGUUCAUGACCGUUUGAUGAUUCUGGUGUUGAUACUUCCUAUGAUACUCCGCAAUCACUAGGUCGGUGAGCCAGCAUCUUUUAGGAAGUAUUAUCGGUCGUUUCAUGUCGUUCCCUACAAGGCGACAGGCAUCGAUCCGUCCUCGUACUCGUAACGCUCCGUCGCUGUCCAUAUAUGCGCUGCUUCUAUAAGGAGGACUAUUUUUAUUUAUUUUUCUUUUAGUGCCAUUCGAACC